rnacentral:rRNA from 1 species
CGGGGGAGCAAGCGUUGUUCGGAUUUACUGGGCGUAAAGGGCGCGUAGGCGGCCACCGCAAGUCGACUGUGAAAUCUCCGGGCUUAACCCGGAAAGGUCAGCCGAUACUGCGGGGCUAGAGUGCAGAAGGGGCAACUGGAAUUCUCGGUGUAGCGGUGAAAUGCGUAGAUAUCGAGAGGAACACCUGCGGCGAAGGCGGGUUGCUGGGCUGACACUGACGCUGAGGCGCGAAAGCUAGGGGAGCGAACGGGAUUAGAUACCCCGGUAGUCCUAGCCUUAAACGAUGAAUGCUUGGUGUCUGGGGUUUUAUAGUCCCCGGGUGCCGUCGCUAACGCUUUAAGUCAUUCCGCCUGGGGAGUACGGUCGCAAGACUG